UGUGUAGGCGGCCGUGCAAGUCGGAUGUGAAAGCCCCGGGCUCAACCCGGGAAGUGCACCCGAAACUGCAAGGCUCGAGUACCGGAGAGGUUGGUGGAAUUCUCGGUGUAGAGGUGAAAUUCGUAGAUAUCGAGAGGAACACCGGUGGCGAAGGCGGCCAACUGGACGAGUACUGACGCUGAGACACGAAAGCGUGGGGAGCAAACAGGAUUAGAUACCCUGGUAGUCCACGCCGUAAACGAUGGGUGCUAGGUGUCACGGGCUUUGACUCCUGUGGUGCCGUAGCCAACGCAUUAAGCACCCCGCCUGGGAAGUACGGCCGCAAGGCUAAA
rnacentral:rRNA from 1 species